GUUGACCUCGGAUCAGGUAGGAAUACCCGCUGAACUUAAGCAUAUCAAUAAGCGGAGGAAAAGAAACCAACAGGGAUUGCCCCAGUAACGGCGAGUGAAGCGGCAACAGCUCAAAUUUGAAAUCUGGCCCCAGGCCCGAGUUGUAAUUUGCAGAGGAUGCUUUUGGCGCGGUGCCUUCCGAGUUCCCUGGAACGGGACGCCAUAGAGGGUGAGAGCCCCGUACGGUUGGACACCAAGCCUUUGUAAAGCUCCUUCGACGAGUCGAGUAGUUUGGGAAUGCUGCUCUAAAUGGGAGGUACAUUUCUUCUAAAGCUAAAUAUUGGCCAGAGACCGAUAGCGCACAAGUAGAGUGAUCGAAAGAUGAAAAGCACUUUGAAAAGAGGGUUAAACAGCACGUGAAAUUGUUAAAAGGGAAGCGCUUGUGACCAGACUUGCGUCCGGUGAAUCACCCAGCUCUCGCGGCUGGGGCACUUCGCCGGCACAGGCCAGCAUCAGCUUGCCGUCGGGGACAAAAGCUUCAGGAACGUGGCUCCUCUCGGGGAGUGUUAUAGCCUGUUGCAUAAUACCCUUCGGCGGGCUGAGGUACGCGCUCCGCAAGGAUGCUGGCGUAAUGGUCAUCAGCGACCCGUCUUGAAACACGGACCAAGGAGUCAACCUUAUGUGCGAGUGUUUGGGUGUUAAACCCCUACGCGUAAUGAAAGUGAACGCAGGUGAGAGCUUCGGCGCAUCAUCGACCGAUCCUGAUGUUCUCGGAUGGAUUUGAGUAAGAGCAUAUAGGGUUGGACCCGAAAGAAGGUGAACUAUGCGUGUGUAGGGUGAAGCCAGAGGAAACUCUGGUGGAGGCUCGCAGCGGUUCUGACGUGCAAAUCGAUCGUCAAACAUGCGCAUGGGGGCGAAAGA
rnacentral:rRNA from 1 species